CUUAAGUUGUAUCUAAAGCAAUUUAGAGUGUAAUCUAAAUAUAUUCUAAGUUAUUGUUUAUUAAGUGGGCAUUGUAUAUGAGCACAUUUUAAUCGCAGAUUUUGCACUGGAUAAAUUUGCGCAAACCGCGUACAAAACCUCUAUAUGUUACUUCAUUCUGACACUUACAUUAUAACUUGUUCCUCAUACUCGGAUACAGUUGUGUGUGUGAGAGCGGUAGACAGAAUAUUUUUAAUUGUUUAAUACGUGUUUUGAAUGAAAAGGUGAAGCUUGUCCUGUCCCAGGCUGAGAACAUAGAGAUGGCACACCUGCUUGUCAAGAUUCUAAUAUCCCACUUCCAGGAACAUGAAGAUGGACUGGUUUUGCAUGCAGACGUAAGUAUUGAAUUUUCUUCUUUCCACUUCACUAAAUUAUAUUAUGUAUUUUUUAUUUGUGUAUUGUGUGUUCUCUACAGGUUGCUGCAUCUGCAUCUGAUGUCGAGAAGAGUCCUCGUCUGGUUUUGCUGGGUUAGUGUUUCAUUACAUGUGAUGAAGUAGAAACAUUUACUAAUGGUUGAUAUAUAAAAUUGUUAACAUUGCUAUGGUACACGAUUGUUAAAAUUGAAUUCUUGAAGGCAGUUCUUUGAAAUGAGUUGUGAAAAAAAUGUGUUAAUUGUUAUUGUUUUUAUUUAUUUUUAUUUUCGGUAUGGCAAAUACUGUAUGGUAGAUGAUAAGCCUAGAGGGCUGUGUUAUUUGUGAGUGUGUCCAGUCAACAUUUUUGACUGCAGUUGCAGCAGUGUUUGCUGUGUACUACAUCUUCAACCUGCAGUAUCAAGAGGAGGCUUGUUGCACGUUAGAAUUUCUUCAAAGACGCUUCAUUGGAAUAAACCCAGAAAGAGGCUCAAAGACCUGCAGAGGCAAGGUAGUCUCCAAGAAGACGGAGAAGGUGGCGAAUAAGAAAUCUGCUACAGUCAAUCCAAAGGUUGCCUCUCUACUAAAAAAAUCUCAUGGAUUUCGAAUGGGAUUUCAUCUAUAGGCAAGUGAAGUUGCACAUACAUUUUCAUUAAAUACAGUUAUUAAUAGAACAUAUUUCACCGUUUAAACACGUAUACAAUAUUCCUUACAUUUAAACUCGUUUAACUUAAAUUUUAGAAGUAAAAAAAAAAAUUACAUUUAAAAGUAAUCAGUCGAAAAAGACUGAUGCGACUCGUUUUGGUGAAUGACAUCACAUCCCUGUAGUUUGCUUUGCAUAAAAUAAAAUAAUUUACAGCAAAGAAACGGUUUUAUAGAUAAAAUAUC
rnacentral:lncRNA from 1 species